UAAGUAAUAAAAUAAACUAUGAUGGUUUUUUAUAUUGAUAACUCAACUGCCCCUAAGUUGAUCAUACACUCUUAAAUAAAGGCAACUAGGUACCAUGACCUACUAGCUACAUCAAGUAGUCCACAAUGGGAUUGUGGUUGAAUUCCUGACUUUGCUACGUCAUCACCGUCAUCUUGAAUUCUACAUACACGAACCCUCAUAAUAUGGGGCAUUUCAACCCAAAUUAGAAAAUGUAAAGAGUCACCUGCCGAAAUUAACAUAUAGCAUUUAACCAGUAUGCUAUGUUAUUUGGUGAUAAAUAAAGCAUGUAUAUAUCUUCAUAUAACAAAAAUGACUCGUGUUACAAAGCACCCUAAUGCAAAGCUUAUAUGUGAGUGUGCACAUAAUUACGUAAUUUCAAACCAUCUUUGAUAAGCAUAAAUCAUAAAAGUAUAGCCUCAACGCAAACUAGUAUUAUUUAACUAGGUG
rnacentral:lncRNA from 1 species